rnacentral:rRNA from 1 species
UAGGGAAUUUUCGUCAAUGGGCGCAAGCCUGAACGAGCAAUGCCGCGUGAACGAGGAAGGUCUUCGGAUCGUAAAGUUCUGUUGAAGGGGAAAAAGAGCGGAGAGAGGAAAUGAUCUCUGAUUGAUAUUACCCUUCGAGGAAGUCACGGCUAACUACGUGCCAGCAGCCGCGGUAAUACGUAGGUGGCGAGCGUUAUCCGGAAUGAUUGGGCGUAAAGGGUGCGUAGGCGGCCUGCUAAGUCUGGAGUGAAAGGUACCGGCUCAACCGGUACAGGCUCUGGAAACUGGCGGGCUAGAGAGCAGGAGAGGGCGGUGGAACUCCAUGUGUAGCGGUAAAAUGCGUAGAUAUAUGGAAGAACACCAGUGGCGAAGGCGGCCGCCUGGCCUGUUGACUGACGCUGAGGCACGAAAGCGUGGGGAGCAAAUA